rnacentral:rRNA from 1 species
ACUCCUACGGGAGGCAGCAGUGGGGAAUAUUGCACAAUGGGGAAACCCUGAUGCAGCCAUGCCGCGUGUGUGAAGAAGGCCUUCGGGUUGUAAAGCACUUUCAGUAGGGAGGAAGGUAGUGUAGUUAACACCUGCACUAUUUGACGUUACCUACAGAAGAAGCACCGGCUAACUCCGUGCCAGCAGCCGCGGUAAUACGGAGGGUGCGAGCGUUAAUCGGAAUUACUGGGCGUAAAGCGCAUGCAGGCGGCCUGUUAAGUCAGAUGUGAAAGCCCGGGGCUUAACCUCGGAAUUGCAUUUGAAACUGGCAGGCUAGAGUCUUGUAGAGGGGGGUAGAAUUUCAGGUGUAGCGGUGAAAUGCGUAGAGAUCUGAAGGAAUACCAGUGGCGAAGCGGCCCCCUGGACAAAGCUGACGCUCAGAUGCGAAAGCGUGGGGA